rnacentral:rRNA from 1 species
AAGUAGUGGAACUCUAAGAGACUGCCGGUGAUAAACCGGAGGAAGGCGGGGAUGAUGUCAAAUCAUCAUGCCCCUUAUGUUCUGGGCUACACACGUACUACAAUGGCUAAUACAGCGCGAAGCAAAACCGCGAGGUGGAGCAAAUCGCCAAAAUUAGUCCCAGUUCGGAUUGCAGGCUGCAACCCGCCUGCAUGAAGUCGGAAUUGCUAGUAAUGGCAGGUCAGCAUACUGCCGUGAAUACGUUCCCGGGCCUU